rnacentral:lncRNA from 1 species
GGCGAGCGGGCGGGCGGGCAGACGCGGAGGCGGGCUCCGGGAAGGGGCGGGGCGGGGCGGGGCGGGGCGCGGAAGGACCGCGGGUUGGGGGCGGGGGCCGCGUCGGCGCGCGCAGGGUGGCCUCGCCUGUGAGUCUGCGCGUCAGGGCCGCCGGCCUCGCCUUGGCUGUUGGAGGUGAUAGGGGUCGGGGGAAGGGAAAUGGAGGCUGGCCUCGGUUCCCCUUCCGACUUCUCUGUAGCCAACCCCUUCCCCCGGGGGCGAGUGAGGAGGAGAUAAGUAAAGAGAUCAAACACCCAGUUAGGAGAAGGAGGCAAGCCCGCGGUCGCCCUCCCGAGGAGGGCUCCGAGCCUGCGGCCGCGGGAGGAGGUUCCUCGGGCCGCGGAGGGCCGGCCCCAGCGCGGGCGGGCCCGGGGCGGGGGAGGGGAAGUGAGAGGUUGUUUAUGACCAGGGACUAAUCUCCGCGGGUCACACCGCUCCCGCUGGGGAGUGGGGACCAGGGGCAAACCUUGCCCGCAGUCUUGCUCGGCCUUGGGGGAGCGACCAGGGGUGAGGGCUGGGCCCGGAGCAGACCAGGAGCCCUGUCGAUGGCGGACCCACGAGAAAGGACACCCACCGUUUUCCUAACGCAGCCCUAAAAGGGCCUGGGGGAAGACUCCAGUAUCCAUAAACAGGCUGUUACCCGUCUCAGGGAAAAAUAACCGGUGUUACCCGAAGAAAUACCUUUCUCGAGCCGUGUUUCCCCAGGGCCAUAUAAGAUCAAUUUCAGAGCUAAAAGGGACCUUAGCAAAUCAUAACCCAUUACUCCUAUUUUUAAAUGGAAAAGCUGACUUCGGGUUGCCCAGGUGACACAGACGGGUUCCCCGUUGUCGUGCCAGCGCUCUUUCCUUUCACCAUAUGCCGUCUCUCAGCGUCGUUCCAAGUACUCUGAGGGAAGACACCCUCGGUUGUGGAAACAAGCCCCUGUCAUCGUGCCGGAAGUAGUGAGUCCUCUCCUAAAGGUCCCAGGAAAACAGUUUCCUCAAAUAUACUCGUUGAAAAACUGAAGACAUUGCCUGAGAUGCAAGUUGAAUUAAGGACAUAGAACCCUUAGAAGACCAUAGAGCCAGUUGUUAAACAUUUACAAGCACACUACUGGACACAGCCAGCCUGAGACAACCUCUUGAUGUGGGAGCUAAGAAAAACUCACACACAGACCUCACUCUCAAGAUAGAAGGAGGACCCGACUCCCCCAGGAGUCUCUUGGUGUGUGCUACUCGAACCAUCAAGCAUGUCUCCAGUUUCUUCGGAAAGACACUGGGGACUAGAGUGAAGGCAACCCAAUCUGGACACAUGAAUGUCGCAUUCGAGAAAAGGAAAACAGGAAAACGUGGAAUGAGACCUCAUUACAAGGGUUUACAGAAGCACACGUAGAUGCGCUCAGAUAUCUGCUCUCCAUCUGAAACCACAUUGGUGACUGUACAGAGGGUUGGGAGAAUCCAUCUGGAAUCAGAAAUUUCAGAAUCAAACAAUACUGUGUUAGUGUUCUGAAAUGGUGAAUUUUAAAAGGAAAAGAAGACUUUAAAACAAUUUAAUAAAGAUAACAUGGAAAGAAUCGUAACCAAUUUAUUAAAUGAAAUAUAUCCAACUAAUUGUGAU